rnacentral:rRNA from 1 species
CCGUAAUACAGAGGGUGCGAGCGUUAAUCGGAAUUACUGGGCGUAAAGCGCGCGUAGGCGGUUAUGUAAGUUGGAUGUGAAAUCCCCGGGCUUAACCUGGGCACUGCAUUCAAAACUGCAUAGCUAGAGUAUGGGAGAGGAUGGUAGAAUUCCAGGUGUAGCGGUGAAAUGCGUAGAGAUCUGGAGGAAUACCGAUGGCGAAGGCAGCCAUCUGGCCUAAUACUGACGCUGAGGUGCGAAAGCAUGGGGAGCAAACAGGAUUAGAUACCCUGGUAGUCCAUGCCGUAAACGAUGUCAACUAGCCGUUGGGGACCUUGAGUCUUUAGUGGCGCAGCUAACGCGAUAAGUUGACCGCCUGGGGAGUACGGUCGCAAGACUAAAACUCAAAGGAAUUGACGG